rnacentral:lncRNA from 1 species
UCCACUUGCCUGAAAUUGGGCACCCUAUGCUCAGAAAUUGUCACCACCUUUAUGAAACUUGUCACUAGACUGGUAAGGAGCACAAAUAAAAGAAAAUGAACUAGAACUCCCCAACUUCUUUUUCUGCCAUUUGUCACCAUCCUGAACACCCUGAGAUUAAGCACUUCCUCCUAGGUUAGAUAACCUGCUCCCUUUACCUUGUCUAUCUCCAAACUCUGCCAGCUUUCUCUUUUCAUUCUCCACUUACUGGAUAUGAACAGUCAACCUAGUGACAUCCCUAUCUUUAAUCAGAAAGGCAGUAUUGCUCUCCAAAAUCAAAUCUCAAUUCAAUCCAAAAGAGAACUUCCUCAUUCUUGCCCGCAUGUCAUCCACUAAAUAGGAGCAUCCUUAGAUAUUGGUAAAACUUUAAGGCAUAUUCCUUGGCAGACAUCCUCCCCUGCUUGAGGUUCAAAAACUCCUCCUUUUUUUUUCCUCAACUCUUGGGGAAAGAAACUAUCUAAGAAGGACUUAGAAAAAGUAUCCUAGAAGACUUAUUCUUCCAUAUCACCCCAAUCUCUGUCCUACU